AACGAACGCUGGCGGCAGGCCUAACACAUGCAAGUCGAGCGAGGACUUCGGUCCUAGCGGCGGACGGGUGAGUAACGCGUGGGAAUAUGCCCAAAGGUACGGAAUAGCCUCGGGAAACUGGGAGUAAUACCGUAUGUGCCCUUCGGGGGAAAGAUUUAUCGCUCUUGGAGGGGCCCGCGUCGGAUUAGCUAGUUGGUGGGGUAAUGGCCCCACCAAGGCGACGAUGCGUAGCCGACCUGAGAGGGUGACCGGCCACACUGGGACUGAGAUACGGCCCAGACUCCUACGGGAGGCAGCAGUCGGGAAUCUUCGGCAAUGGGCGAAAGCCUGACCGAGCAACGCCGCGUGGGUGAGGACGGCCUUCGGGUUGUAAAGCUCUGUCCUCGGGGACGAAAAAUGACGGUACCCGAGGAGGAAGCCCCGGCUAACUACGUG
rnacentral:rRNA from 1 species